AUUGAACGCUAGCGGCAGGCCUUACACAUGCAAGUCGAACGAGUGGCGGACGGGUGAGUAAUGUAUGGGAAACUGCCUGAUAGAGGGGGAUAACUACUCGAAAGGGUGGCUAAUACCGCAUACCAUCGGAUCUGCCCAGAUGGGAUUAGCUAGUUGGUGGGGUACCGGCUCACCAAGGCGACGAUCCCUAGCUGGUUUGAGAGGAUGACCAGCCACACUGGAACUGAGACACGGCCCAGACUCCUACGGGAGGCAGCAGUGGGGAAUAUUGGACAAUGGGGGAAACCCUGAUCCAGCCAUGCCGCGUGUAUGAUGAAGGCCUUCGGGUUGUAAAGUACUUUUGGCAGAGAGGCGGUAUCUGCAGAAGAAGCACCGGCUAACUACGUGCCAGCAGCCGCGGUAAUUC
rnacentral:rRNA from 1 species